rnacentral:rRNA from 1 species
AACGUAGGUUCCGAGCGUUAUCCGGAUUUACUGGGCGUAAAGCGCGUUCAGGCGGUUCGGCAAGUCGGGCAUGAAAUCUCUCGGCUCAACCGGGAGAGGUUGUCCGAUACUGUUGGACUUGGAGGGCAGUAGGAGGGUGGUGGUGAAUUCCGGGUGUAGUGGUAGAAAUGCGUAGAUAUCCGGAGGAACACCAGUGGCGAAAGCGGCCACCUGGACUGUACCUGACGCUCAAACGCGAAAGCUAGGGGAGCGAACGGG